rnacentral:lncRNA from 1 species
AACAGUGAUAAAGUUGAACAUACACAUGCUGUUGUCAUUUAUGUUGUGUUCUCUGCAAUCAACAAAACAACCACCAUACAACAAUGGAAUACACUGGACAAAAAAUACCAGCACCGCCCAGAAACAAAAAUAAAAGUAAGGAAAAAUAAUAUUCCAUAACAAUAAGAUAAUCUCCAUAGAUAUGUAAAUGAUUCUUAUGAUCUACAACACAUCUUCUUUUCUGGAAUUACUUGUGCAGGACCCGGGACAAUGAUCUUCUUGCCAGCCAAAGAACCCGAAUUCUCCUUUUGUUCCUCACCCCCGGUCAAACUUUUCUUGUUGACUAUUCUGAAGAUUUCAGUCAAAACAGUCAAGAAUGCAUCUUCUACGUUUGUUGACUCGAGUGCGGAUGUUUCCAGAAAGAAUAAUCCUUCCUUUUCAGCAAACUCCUUGGCGUCCUCUGUGGGGACCGCCCGUUGGUCUUCCAGAUCACAUUUGUUUCCAAUGAGAAUGAUUACGAUGUUUUUGUCUGCAUGGUUACGUAACUCUUCUAGCCACCGUGGGAUGUGGUCAAAUGUUUGGCGUUUUGUUAUGUCGUAAACCAACAUGGCUCCUACUGCACCCCUGUAGUAUGCACUUGUCACUGCUCUACACCUUUCCUGACCAGCAGUAUCCCAGAUCUGAGCUUUAACAGACUUGUGCUGAAUAACAAGAGUUCGAGUCUGAAACUCGACACCAAUAGUAGCUUUGGAGUCCAAACUGAACUCGUUUCUGGCGAAUCGAGCGAGUAUCUGUGACUUGCCGACCGCUGAGUCUCCGAUUAGCACCACUUUGAACACAUAGUCUAUCUUUUGGCUCGGAUCACUGUAUCCACCACCACUGGCCAUUGAUUGA